GGCGCANGGGUGAGUAACACGUGAAUUACAUGCCCUUGAGAGGGGGAUAGCCCAGGGAAACUUGGAUUAAUACCCUAUGGUCUCGCAAGAGUAAGGGUGGCCGCAAGGCUGUCGCUCAAGGAUUGGUUCGCGCCCUAUCAGCUUGUUGGUGAGGUAAUGGCUCACCAAGGCUACGACGGGUACCUGGUUUGAGAGAAUGAUCAGGCACACUGGAACUGAGACACGGUCCAGACACCUACGGGUGGCAGCAGUCGAGAAUAAUUCACAAUGGGGGCAACCCUGAUGGUGCAACGCCGCGUGGAGGAUGAAGGUCUUCGGAUUGUAAACUCCUGUCAUCUGGGAGUAAGACCUGGCCGUGAAUAGCGGACAGGGUUGAUAGUACCAGAAGAGGAAGGGACGGCUAACUUCGUGCCAGCAGCCGCGGUAAUACGAAGGUCCCGAGCGUUGUUCGGAAUCACUGGGCGUAAAGGGAGCGUAGGCGGUGCGGUAAGUCAGAUGUGAAAUCCCGGGGCUCAACCCCGGAACUGCAUCCGAUACUGCCGUGCUA
rnacentral:rRNA from 1 species